rnacentral:sRNA from 1 species
CCUGGGGGUGAAACCCCAGGCUAUUAUCUGUCGUCCCUAAAGGGACU